rnacentral:rRNA from 1 species
GACGAACGCUGGCGGCGUGCUUAACACAUGCAAGUCGAACGGAAAGGCCCCCACUUUUUUGGUGGGGGUGCUCGAGUGGCGAACGGGUGAGUAACACGUGGGUGAUCUGCCCUGUACUUCGGGAUAAGCUUGGGAAACUGGGUCUAAUACCGGAUAGGACCAUGGUCUAGUGUCUCAUGGUGGAAAAAUUAUUGUUUUGGUGCAGGAUGAGCUCGCGGCCUAUCAGCUUGUUGGUGGGGUAAUGGCCUACCAAGGCGUCGACGGGUAGCCGGCCUGAGAGGGUGGACGGCCACAUUGGGACUGGGCUACGGCCCAGACUCCUACGGGAGGCAGCAGUGGGGAAUAUUGCACAAUGGGCGCAAGCCUGAUGCAGCGACGCCGCGUGGGGGAUGACGGCCUUCGGGUUGUAAACUCCUUUCGUUAGGGACGAAGCCGCACCUUUUUUGGGUGUGGUGACGGUACCUUUGUUAAGAAGCACCGGCUAACUACGUG